rnacentral:rRNA from 1 species
UCUCGGGGCAUUGUAUUCUGAAGCCUUGAUUCUGAGAACCGGUACCUAAGUCUUCUGGAAAGGAGCGCCAAGGAGGGUGAUAGCCCCGUACGGUACUGACCUCAUUGUAGAAUCUUGGCGUGGAGUCGAGUUGUUUGGGAAUGCAGCUCAAAUGGGUGGUAUGCUCCAUCUAAAGCUAAAUAUCUGCGAGAGACCGAUAGCGAACAAGUACUGUGAAGGAAAGAUGAAAAGAACUUUGAAAAGAGAGUGAAAAAGUACGUGAAAUUGUUGAAAUGGAAGGAUAGGCCGCUAACCACGUAGAGCCGUGUCUGAGGGGAGGAUAAAAGCUGUAGAAUGUGGCUCUUCGGAGUGUUAUAGCUACAGUGCAUACUCCCACUCGGGCGCGAGGACCUAAGGCUCUGCUAAAUGGUGGUCUAUCA